rnacentral:rRNA from 1 species
AUUGAACGCUGGCGGCAUGCCUUACACAUGCAAGUCGAACGGCAGCACGGGUGCUUGCACCUGGUGGCGAGUGGCGAACGGGUGAGUAAUACAUCGGAACGUACCUUAUCGUGGGGGAUAACGCAGCGAAAGUUGCGCUAAUACCGCAUACGCCCUGAGGGGGAAAGCGGGGGAUCGAAAGACCUCGCGCGAUUAGAGCGGCCGAUGCCUGAUUAGCUUGUUGGUGGGGUAAAAGCCCACCAAGGCGACGAUCAGUAGCUGGUCUGAGAGGACGAUCAGCCACACUGGGACUGAGACACGGCCCAGACUCCUACGGGAGGCAGCAGUGGGGAAUUUUGGACAAUGGGGGCAACCCUGAUCCAGCAAUGCCGCGUGAGUGAAGAAGGCCUUCGGGUUGUAAAGCUCUUUUGUCAGGGAAGAAACACCGGCUCUAACACAGUCCGGGAAUGACGGUACCUGAAGAAUAAGCACCGGCUAACUACGUGCCAGCAGCCGCCGUAA